rnacentral:rRNA from 1 species
GACAGAGGGUGCAAACGUUGUUCGGAAUUACUGGGCGUAAAGCGCGUGUAGGUGGCAAGGCAAGUCGGGUGUGAAAGCCCUGGGCUCAACCCAGGAGGUGCACUCGAUACUGCCUCGCUAGAGUCCCGGAGAGGUUGGUGGAACUCUCGGUGUAGAGGUGAAAUUCGUAGAUAUCGAGAAGAACACCGGUGGCGAAGGCGGCCAACUGGACGGUGACUGACACUGAGACGCGAAAGCGUGGGGAGCGAACGGG